CCGAUCCCCGGCCCGCCUCGCUUCACUCCGACCACCGCACACGAUGGAGCCGAAGCCGGCCGUUGAGGCCGACGCCGACGACGACUACAUGGGGGACCUGUCCCACUUCCUCCCGCCGAGCCCUUCCAGGAGCCUCGGGGUCCGGAAGCAUCCCCCGGCGCCGGCUGGGCAUGCGCGAGGGCAGGCGAAGCGCGCCAAGGGGCUGCCCUGGAAGGAGCGGCGGCGGCAGGAGCGGGAGAGGAGUCAGCGGGAGGAGGAUGCGCGCACCUUGGCCGGGAUGGCGGAGGCCAUCCCCGAGAGCAACGUGGGGUUCAAGCUUUUGAAGCAGAUGGGUUACGACCCGGCAGCGCGUGGCGGCGACGCGGAGCCGGUGGGGAUCGAGAUCCGCCGCUCGCGAGCAGGGCUCGGGGCGGAGCCGCCUGUCUCUGCCGCGCCUCUGCCGGAGCCGUCGGAGCCGAAGACCCGGGAGGAGGUUGAGAAGGAGAAGAAGAGGGAUGAGGAGAUGGUGGUUGAGCUAAGGGCGAGGAAAAGCACGCAGUGGAAGGGGCGGAGGUUGGUGUGGGACUACCGCAAGGCCGAGGCAGCGCUCGCGCAGCUGGAGAACCGGGAGGUGGCGCCACCGGCCCACGAUAGUGAAGAGAAGGAGAAGGGAGAGGAAGAAGAGGAAGAGGUGAUCACUGAAGAGGGUCUGCAAAACAUACUGGAUAAGCUGCGCUAUGAACACCGCUAUUGCCUUUAUUGUGGAUGCAAGUAUGAAUCGGCAGAAGCGCUGGCAGAUGAAUGCCCUGGGCCUAAUGAAGAUGAUCAUUAAUUCACUUUCUCAAAUGUCCGUGGUGACGAAGAAUUGCCCUUCCUUUUACAGUUUAAAGCUUGAGACAUAUCUGAAAGCUUCAGGAAAUUUGCAUAUGGUGUGAAGUAUGAACUUCAUGCAAAAUACUGAAAGGAGCUCAAGAUAUGUCUGAUAUGUCAAGAACUUCAGCCAAAUGAUAUGAGUGGUCAGCGGUGAAGAAAGAAGUGGAUUUCGGCUUUUUGAUCAACAGAUUUAGGUUUGUUCACCAAUUAUCGAUGUAACUGUUGAAGUUGGCAUCAUUGGAAGGCUGCGACUAUUAUCCCUCCUGGUUCUAGCACUUGCAUAAUACUACACGCCAAUGCUGGAUCUCUGUACAGUGCUAUGCUAGUCCUACAAGUGCCAAUCUUACAUGUGAACUUACGAUCUACCCAUGAUCAUUGAUUGUUGGUCACAGGCUAGUGACCUAAUGUGGCUACAGGAUUAGUCAGUAUGAGUUCAAAAUAUUAUGUCGUGCUCUUACUCUGGCAAUUAUUUGUUCUCCUUUCUGGUGUGGGCUCCCUAAUUCUGUUUGGACCCAGUGACACUCUUUGCAAAGAUCAAAAGUUUCAGCCUUUACCACCAGAUAAAAUCAACAAGUCCGUAAGGUUUGGAUCAGCAUCCCAGCAAAUGGUCAGUGGAAAAAAGGGGAAGAUUCUUGGAACACUUAAGUCUCUCUCACAUGAAAGCAAAUAUUGAUGUUUUGCGAGAAUAUACCAGAGCUCUCACCACUACUGAUCAGUUCUUUUGGAGUAAAGAAGCUGCUGAACUGCAUUGCAUUGCGUUGAUCUCACAUUCUCACCUCAGCCAGCCCAUCAAUAGGACACCACCGGUGCUGAGAGCAUGCUACAAAGCCACGAUGUGCGUGUGGUCUCAACUUUGCAUAACAAGAACAGAUUCCUGGCAGUGCUACGCAGUGGCAAGAUUAAUCAGGGAAUAACACGCCGAGUAAAAGUCCUCGAUAAGCAUACUGAUACUUGAAUUCAUGGAGGUUUACAUGGACGCAAAUAAUUAGGAGUUCAUGGACGUUAUGCAUCAAGAACAAAUUAUUCGCCUGUCACUUCGGAUUUUCCUUCCCAUGCUUGUGACCAGAAGGUAGCAAUGAGCGCAGGCAACAUCCUGGCACUUCUUCAGUUCCAUGUCUCUUUGCGCGGACUAAGGAUUUUAGUUGAAAUGGCCCCUACAGGGACCAGUUCGACGAGCUUCCAGGGUGGUCAAAUGUGUUGCCACCGCUGCCAUGAUCGCCACGU